ensembl:snRNA U6 U6 spliceosomal RNA
GUGCUUGCUUUGGCAGCAUAUACACUAAAAUUGGAAUGAUACAGAGAAGAUUAGCAUGGCCCCUGUGCAAAAGAUGACAUGCAAAUUCAUGAAGCAUUCCAAUAUUUA